rnacentral:rRNA from 1 species
GUAACACGUAGUCAACAUCCCCUGGGGACGUGGAUAACCUCGGGAAACUGAGGAUAAACCGCCAUAGGUCACUACUUCUGGAAUGGGUAAUGACUCAAACCUACAUGGCCCCUGGAUUGGACUGCGGCCGAUCAGGCUGUUGGUGAGGUAAUGGCCCACCAAACCUGUAACCGGUACGGGCUCUGAGAGGAGGAGCCCGGAGAUGGGCACUGAGACAAGGGCCCAGGCCCUAUGGGGCGCAGCAGGCGCGAAACCUCUGCAAUAGGCGAAAGCCUGACAGGGUUACUCUGAGUGAUCUCCGUUAAGGAGAUCUUUUGGCACCUCUAAAAAUGGUGCAGAAUAAGGGGUGGGCAGGUCUGGUGUCAGCCGCCGCGGUAAUACCAGCACCCCGAGUGGUCGGGACGUUUAUUGGGCCUAAAGCAUACGUAGCCGGUUCUACAAGUCUUCCGUUAAAUCCAGCUGCUUAACAGAUGGGCUGCGGAAGAUACUAUGGAGCU